CUCUCUCUCAUAUGCUCUAUAUACUAUUAGAAAUUACCCCUAUUACAAUAGACUUUUUGGUAACGGUUCCAAAAGCAUUGCAAUAGACCCUCUAUUACAAUGGUUCUAACUGUUGCAAAAAAAAUUAUUCUAAUAGAAAUUUUUUAUGGUAUAACCAUUGUUGUUGUUCAAGAUGCGUUGCAAUGGAGAGUCUUAUAGCAACAAUCUCAUGAACUAUUUCCAUGGAGUCAUCUAUGGCAAUGCUUUAUUGGGUUAAAAUAAAAUAUUGCAACUUUUUUUUAUUUUCCACACCAACAUUGGCAAAAAGUAAAGAAUUAUAAACAUUUUCCCCCAAUUUCACUCUUAUAGGUCAACUGUGCUCCAUAAUUGCCAUUUCAUCUCAUAAUUGGGAGCUUUAAUUUCUUCAUUAAAGUGCAUCUAUAAUUUCAAUUUCUUCAUUGUCCCUAAUUUCAAUUAAAGAAAUUGGUUCACUAUGCUCUGACUUCACUGUGCUCUGACACUGCUGCUCCCACUUCAGUUCUUAAAUUUGCACUUCAUAUUUAUGGUGAAGAAUUAUAGUUGAACUGUAUGCUAGAGUUGAGACAUUGUAAUAAAGCUGUUGAAGAUCUUGAGUUUAGUGGUCCCGAAGAAGAAGCAAAUCAUCAAAGAAUAGAACAUUGAGCUGCUGGAACGCACUGCAAAAUUUAGAAAGCAGGCUCAUGCAAUAGCUAAGUGGGACAAGAGGAUCCUCUAGAAUCGCGACAUUCUUCUCAAACUUGAGGUGGAUGUUUCCUGUUAAGAGAUCAAGUUGCAUUUUCCGAGAUUAAUAGUGGAGCACUAUUUACAUUCUAAUUGAGGUUGACAAGGCAUUGCAAAGCAUGGAAGAAAAAGCUGGAGAGAAUUUACAAAGAUAAAAGAGGAGUGAUUCUUGAUGAUGAAGUAUGAGUGCAUCUUUUAUUUCAUGGAAAAUGGUUGAGGAUUUCACCACCAACAACAACAAUAAAAUACAUCUUAUAAAUACAAGAUUAACCUAGAGACAGUUUGUACCAUUCCUUUUUGAAUUGUUGACAGAGGAUUUAAUGUCAAUCUUUUUGAUUUUGAAUUUUUUGAAACUUAUCUCCACUCGAAUUUGAUACUAUGUGGGAAAACUAACGAUCAUUGACUUUAACAUUUUUCUAUUGGGUUUAGAUUACUAGUUUGUUGUAUAUUUUAAUUUGGAUUAUUAUUAAUGAAAGAUUUUAUUGUAA